rnacentral:rRNA from 1 species
UGCUGUUUCGCUGACGAGUGGCGGACGGGUGAGUAAUGUCUGGGAAACUGCCUGAUGGAGGGGGAUAACUACUGGAAACGGUAGCUAAUACCGCAUAACGUCGCAAGACCAAAGAGGGGGACCUUCGGGCCUCUUGCCAUCAGAUGUGCCCAGAUGGGAUUAGCUAGUAGGUGGGGUAACGGCUCACCUAGGCGACGAUCCCUAGCUGGUCUGAGAGGAUGACCAGCCACACUGGAACUGAGACACGGUCCAGACUCCUACGGGAGGCAGCAGUGGGGAAUAUUGCACAAUGGGCGCAAGCCUGAUGCAGCCAUGCCGCGUGUAUGAAGAAGGCCUUCGGGUUGUAAAGUACUUUCAGCGGGGAGGAAGGGAGUAAAGUUAAUACCUUUGCUCAUUGACGUUACCCGCAGAAGAAGCACCGGCUAACUCCGUGCCAGCAGCCGCGGUAAUACGGAGGGUGCAAGCGUUAAUCGGAAUUACUGGGCGUAAAGCGCACGCAGGCGGUUUGUUAAGUCAGAUGUGAAAUCCCCGGGCUCAACCUGGGAACUGCAUCUGAUACUGGCAAGCUUGAGUCUCGUAGAGGGGGGUAGAAUUCCAGGUGUAGCGGUGA